UACGGGGGGGACAAACGUUGUUCGGAUUUACUGGGCGUAAAGGGCGCGUAGGCGGACUUUCAAGUCGGAUGUGAAAUCUCCAGGCUCAACUUGGAGCUUGCAUCCGAAACUGUUGGUCUUGAGUGCAUUAGAGGAAAGCGGAAUUCCAGGUGUAGCGGUGAAAUGCGUAGAUAUCUGGAAGAACACCAGUAGCGAAGGCGGCUUUCUGGGAUGUUACUGACGCUGAAGCGCGAAGGCUAGGGUAGCAAACAGG
rnacentral:rRNA from 1 species